AUGAGGGGGAAGCUGGGGAGGGGACACUGGUUUCAUUCCGGCCUGGCCUCCACCUUGAGGGCGGGGCGCUCGGCCACAGGUGGUCACGGCACCUGCGGGGUCAGCCUCCCUCCCGCUGUGGGUGGCCAGGGAGCCCGGUGGUCAGGCGUUCGUCUGGUGGCCCCGGGAGUCACGCGGCCUCCCCGAGCCGCGGUGUGUCCUCCCUUAGAGCCAGGGCCGAGAAUCUCACAGACCCCUCGGGUCGACCUCCAGGCUCAGCGCCUGCCACGAGGUGGGCACUGGGGGAGUGGAGGUGUCACCACCCGGAAACCAGCCUCGCUGGCACACACCUGCUUCACUCCCUCCCUCCCAGCAAAAUCGCAAAGGACGAGACGUUUAUGUUUGUUUGAAAGGCAGAGAAGUUUGUUUGUAAAUCAGCGCAGCGGACACGGCUUCAAGCAGCCAGGUGGUGGCGGAGCUGGGACCAGAGCCCCGGCCUCGCGCCCGUCUCUCAGGGCCACCUGGCCGCGGCCGGCCGCCCGGUGUCUGCCCCCAGCGCGUGAAUUCCCAGGAGCUGCAAACAAAGAGCCGGGGUUGGGGUUCGGACUCAUCAACACUCCCACGUGGGUGACUCACCUGGGAGCUGAACAAGAGCACAGAGCACCUGCCCCGGCACAUUCCCGCCCCCUGACCCGAGGCCCGUGUGCGCAGGGGAGGGAGGGCCUGUGGCGCAGACCGCAGGGGCUGGGGCUGCCGUCCCCGGCCUGGGGCCCGAACCCCCUGGGACGCCCAGGGUCGCCCCCUUGGUCUGAGAGCAGAAUGUGGACCCGGGGUGGGAGCGGGGCCUGGGGCCCAGGGCCCGGGGGUCACAGGCGGGGAAGCAGCUUGCAGAUUUUACAGGUCACAUUAUCUUUUAUGGGCAUCCUAAAAAGAAUGUCAGGCACUGGAGGGCUUUUUUCCCCUCUCCCUCUCCCUUCCUCUCUCCCUUCCUCUCUCCCCGUCUCUCCCUCCUUCUCUCUCUCCCUCUCCCUCUCUGAUUUGCAUCAGUGCAGGAUUUUUAUCGCAGGCCCGGCCAGAGGGGCUGGGGGGCCCCAGAGGCGGCAGCCGAGGGCUGGGCCCCGGGGAGCCGGGUGUUGGGGCCCCCACCCUGUGAGGCGCCCAGUGCGCCCUUCCCUCGCCCGGCGCCUCCGCCCCCAGGACAGCUGGUCCGUCCAGGGGGCUGCUGGCUUCCAGCAUCGGCUCUCUGCCUGCUUCUCCCACUCCGGGGGCCCCGGAUCCCCGUGA
rnacentral:lncRNA from 1 species